UUAAGCGACUAAGCGUACACGGUGGAUGCCCUGGCAGUCAGAGGCGAUGAAGGACGUGCUAAUCUGCGAUAAGCGUCGGUAAGGUGAUAUGAACCGUUAUAACCGGCGAUUUCCGAAUGGGGAAACCCAGUGUGAUUUGUCACACUAUCAUUAACUGAAUCCAUAGGUUAAUGAGGCGAACCGGGGGAACUGAAACAUCUAAGUACCCCGAGGAAAAGAAAUCAACCGAGAUUCCCCCAGUAGCGGCGAGCGAACGGGGAGCAGCCCAGAGCCUGAAUCAGUGUGUGUGUUAGUGGAAGCGUCUGGAAAGGCGUGCGAUACAGGGUGACAGCCCCGUACACAAAAAUGCACAUGCUGUGAGCUCGAUGAGUAGGGCGGGACACGUGGUAUCCUGUCUGAAUAUGGGGGACCAUCCUCCAAGGCUAAAUACUCCUGACUGACCGAUAGUGAACCAGUACCGUGAGGGAAAGGCGAAAAGAACCCCGGCGAGGGGAGUGAAAAAGAACCUGAAACCGUGUACGUACAAGCAGUGGGAGCACGCUUAGGCGUGUGACUGCGUACCUUUUGUAUAAUGGGUCAGCGACUUAUAUUCUGUAGCAAGGUUAACCGAAUAGGGGAGCCGAAGGGAAACCGAGUCUUAACUGGGCGUUAAGUUGCAGGGUAUAGACCCGAAACCCGGUGAUCUAGCCAUGGGCAGGUUGAAGGUUGGGUAACACUAACUGGAGGACCGAACCGACUAAUGUUGAAAAAUUAGCGGAUGACUUGUGGCUGGGGUGAAAGGCCAAUCAAACCGGGAGAUAGCUGGUUCUCCCCGAAAGCUAUUUAGGUAGCGCCUCGUGAAUUCAUCUCCGGGGGUAGAGCACUGUUUCGGCAAGGGGGUCAUCCCGACUUACCAACCCGAUGCAAACUGCGAAUACCGGAGAAUGUUAUCACGGGAGACACACGGCGGGUGCUAACGUCCGUCGUGAAGAGGGAAACAACCCAGACCGCCAGCUAAGGUCCCAAAGUCAUGGUUAAGUGGGAAACGAUGUGGGAAGGCCCAGACAGCCAGGAUGUUGGCUUAGAAGCAGCCAUCAUUUAAAGAAAGCGUAAUAGCUCACUGGUCGAGUCGGCCUGCGCGGAAGAUGUAACGGGGCUAAACCAUGCACCGAAGCUGCGGCAGCGACGCUGAUGCGUUGUUGGGUAGGGGAGCGUUCUGUAAGCCUGCGAAGGUGUGCUGUGAGGCAUGCUGGAGGUAUCAGAAGUGCGAAUGCUGACAUAAGUAACGAUAAAGCGGGUGAAAAGCCCGCUCGCCGGAAGACCAAGGGUUCCUGUCCAACGUUAAUCGGGGCAGGGUGAGUCGACCCCUAAGGCGAGGCCGAAAGGCGUAGUCGAUGGGAAACAGGUUAAUAUUCCUGUACUUGGUGUUACUGCGAAGGGGGGACGGAGAAGGCUAUGUUGGCCGGGCGACGGUUGUCCCGGUUUAAGCGUGUAGGCUGGUUUUCCAGGCAAAUCCGGAAAAUCAAGGCUGAGGCGUGAUGACGAGGCACUACGGUGCUGAAGCAACAAAUGCCCUGCUUCCAGGAAAAGCCUCUAAGCAUCAGGUAACAUCAAAUCGUACCCCAAACCGACACAGGUGGUCAGGUAGAGAAUACCAAGGCGCUUGAGAGAACUCGGGUGAAGGAACUAGGCAAAAUGGUGCCGUAACUUCGGGAGAAGGCACGCUGAUAUGUAGGUGAAGCGACUUGCUCGUGGAGCUGAAAUCAGUCGAAGAUACCAGCUGGCUGCAACUGUUUAUUAAAAACACAGCACUGUGCAAACACGAAAGUGGACGUAUACGGUGUGACGCCUGCCCGGUGCCGGAAGGUUAAUUGAUGGGGUCAGCGCAAGCGAAGCUCUUGAUCGAAGCCCCGGUAAACGGCGGCCGUAACUAUAACGGUCCUAAGGUAGCGAAAUUCCUUGUCGGGUAAGUUCCGACCUGCACGAAUGGCGUAAUGAUGGCCAGGCUGUCUCCACCCGAGACUCAGUGAAAUUGAACUCGCUGUGAAGAUGCAGUGUACCCGCGGCAAGACGGAAAGACCCCGUGAACCUUUACUAUAGCUUGACACUGAACAUUGAGCCUUGAUGUGUAGGAUAGGUGGGAGGCUUUGAAGUGUGGACGCCAGUCUGCAUGGAGCCGACCUUGAAAUACCACCCUUUAAUGUUUGAUGUUCUAACGUGGACCCGUGAUCCGGGUUGCGGACAGUGUCUGGUGGGUAGUUUGACUGGGGCGGUCUCCUCCUAAAGAGUAACGGAGGAGCACGAAGGUUGGCUAAUCCUGGUCGGACAUCAGGAGGUUAGUGCAAUGGCAUAAGCCAGCUUGACUGCGAGCGUGACGGCGCGAGCAGGUGCGAAAGCAGGUCAUAGUGAUCCGGUGGUUCUGAAUGGAAGGGCCAUCGCUCAACGGAUAAAAGGUACUCCGGGGAUAACAGGCUGAUACCGCCCAAGAGUUCAUAUCGACGGCGGUGUUUGGCACCUCGAUGUCGGCUCAUCACAUCCUGGGGCUGAAGUAGGUCCCAAGGGUAUGGCUGUUCGCCAUUUAAAGUGGUACGCGAGCUGGGUUUAGAACGUCGUGAGACAGUUCGGUCCCUAUCUGCCGUGGGCGCUGGAGAACUGAGGGGGCUGCUCCUAGUACGAGAGGACCGGAGUGGACGCAUCACUGGUGUUCGGGUUGUCAUGCCAAUGGCACUGCCCGGUAGCUAAAUGCGGAAGAGAUAAGUGCUGAAAGCAUCUAAGCACGAAACUUGCCCCGAGAUGAGUUCUCCCUGACUCCUUGAGAGUCCUGAAGGAACGUUGAAGACGACGACGUUGAUAGGCCGGGUGUGUAAGCGCAGCGAUGCGUUGAGCUAACCGGUACUAAUGAACCGUGAGGCUUAACCUU
rnacentral:rRNA from 1 species